GCCCUCUGGGCAUUUGGUCAAUUUAUAACUAUACAGAGAAGAUUAGCAUGGCCCCUGCACUAAGGAUGGUGAGUUCGAACCCCAGCUUCGGCAAAUACUU
rnacentral:snRNA from 1 species